GGAGGUUUAAGAAGCUGGGAUGUGGAAAUGUAGGUGAAGCCUUAGUCCAGUCCAUAGGGUGUGGUGAUUCUGGAAGAUUAGCAGCACGUGAAUCUAUCGCAUGCCAUAUACUUACAAUGCAAGCGAGCACCUCUCCAUCCUCAGUGCUGACCCUCAGGAGACAUCCGAGAGCAUACGCUUCACCUGCUUAUGUUACACAGGAAUUCCUGUCUGGGGAACUAAUAGGCAAAAUAUUCUCCAAGAAGACGUAUCAAGUUGGUCCACUGGCUUUAUGCAUCCUAAUUCGAGAGGCAGCGCUGGAAUAAAGCAGAGUCCCUCUGGACAUCAGUGAGAGGCCAGUGAGCCCCGGAGCAGAGAACCUGCAUUUGAAUCUGAGCUACAAGACUUCAAGCCUCAG